CGAACCCACGAACUGCGAGAUCAUGACCUGAGCCAGAGUUGGAUGCUUAACCGACUGAGCCACCCAGGCGCCCCUGAACAUGGAGCCACUUUAAAAUGGGAUUAAUUAGGACACUGAUUCACAUUAUUUUUAAUACUAUUGAAGCUGCUACGAUAUACAACAGGAAAGUGGCCCAAAACAGUACAAAAAACUCACAGUAAACAUUAUUUUCUACUUGACUAAAAAGAACAUUAAAACAUCAACGAUCUUUCCUGAUACUUUUUUAUUUUACUUGAAAAGAAAAGGAAGCCUUCUCCCCUCAUCAUAAUUUCAUAAAUUCAUGAUUUCCCUUCUCUCAAGCUAUAGUUAUCAGUGGCAUUUAAAAUCUCUGAAACUUCAUUUAUUCCAAUUAAAACAGAAGAGGUAACUAUUAAUUGUAACUCUUCAACCACUUCUGUAAAGUUAUUAGAAAUUUUAUUUAUAUGUUCACAAUGUAAUUCUGUAAAAAAUGCAAGCCCCCAAAUAGUGUGCUUUCAUAGGGAGAAGCAACAGGUGAAACAAGGGUAAAUCUCCAUAAGCUUGGGUGACCAGGAAGUACGUCCUCACUUUUCUAUGUGCCUGUUAUAGAGUUAAUUUCUAUAUCAGGCCAAGUAGGAAGGCCAGAAUGAGAGGUGACAGAAACUUACGCUCAAUUUGGACUUCUCUUUGCUUCUUGAAGUCUAGGGACUGAUUUAGUUUCUGGGCAUCAGAGGGGCAGGGAGAAGGGGUCUUUGGUCCUUAGUGUCAUCCUUUAACCAGCUACAUCUCAACACACACAUGAAACCAGUGACAUGGUAAAAUUACAGGCUGUACCCCAUUGGCUAUUGUAGACAUCUGAGCUCGUGAAAACAAAAGUGAUAGCAUACUGCUCUCCACCAGAACCAAGUGAUAGAUUUUAUUAACUAAGCUCUGAGAAGCUCAAAGCAAUUUCAGAUAAGUUUAAAAUGUUAUGUAAGGUCAAUGGGUAUAAUGAGUUCUACAUCAAUUAUAUAGUGUUCUACAUCUAUAUAAUUAAAAUAAUAUAUAAGGUUCAGUGUAUGUGAUAUGCUGAACAAUAUCGUGAGAAGUGGGUGAUUUUUAUCAAUAGGAAAUCAUGACCAUGAAACAAAUCCCGUGGUUUUAAACACAUAGGAAAAUAAUAAUGGGUUCGAAGUACACGAAAAUAUAAGCCCACUUGGAACUUCAUACAUAUCUGUGCAGCCUUAUGUAUGUAACAAUACAAAAAAAUCAGAAAAAAUGCAUUCUAAGGUGUAACAUUAGUUAUUUCAGAGCAGCAGGAUCUCUGAUGAUUUAAAAAUUUCGCCUUUCAUUUUUGUGAUUUUCUAAAUUUUCUUUAAUACACAUUAUCAUUUCUAGAAUAAAAAUAAUUAAAUUGCAUUUCUGUAUUCUACUUUUGAGGGUAUUAUUACUGAGACAGAAGUAUGUGUGUCUGCUCAUGUGCACCCGUGCUGAGUGUGAAGGUAGCAUGAGGGCCGACUGUAUUCUAGGCAGUAGAAAUAAGCUUAAGUGAUGAUGAAAUUGGGGAGGGCAUACAAAGAGUGUGGAUGAGAAAAAGCAGGUACAGUGGAAGGGCAAACCCUAUCUCACAGGGUACUCAUUGCCAGCUGACUGCUGCAUAGCUCAUAGCAACUUUUCAUGAGAAGCCAGAUAUCUAGAUUUUUGUGUGAAAUUUUUUGAUGUUGGAAGUAAAUUAGUUUUUAAUUGGGAAGCACUGUAUCUGCCACACCAAAGAUAUCUGUAGGACAAAUGUAGCUUCCGGGGAGUGUAUCUAGACUUUUCUGCUCAGACCUAUUGGUCCAUAGUUUGAUAAAUUAAUUUACAGUGCUUCCCAACAUAUUUGAAACCAGAGCACACAUAAAGAUAUGAUAACAUUCGUACAGCACACUGAAAGGAGCUUCUUGUUGCCUGGAGAUAUCUGAGCUGUGACCUCCUAAUGCCUAGGUCUCAUCCCCUCUCCUACCCCGGCCCACCCUGACUCAUUAAGGAGCUGAAGAGCUAUCUCGGAUAUCCCUGUAACUCACCAUAAUGCAUUUGCAUCACCCACUAUGGUAUGGCCCACUCUACCUGAAAGCGUGGAGGAAAUGAAAUGAACAUGGCUUUCGGUGGUGGUGGAAUAGGGAACAGGGUUAUGGGGAGAAAUCCCAGGAUGCAGAGAGCAUGUGGCAGGAAGCAGGGAGGGUGGCUGUCUGGGCUGGGGCACCUCAGUCAAGAGCCUGAAUCCUAAUCAACUUGUGUGAGCUCCUUGCAGACCAGGACUAUAAAGGUCUUUGUGUCCCUGGGCCCUGGUGCAGAGGCUAACAGAGAAAGUGCCUAGCAAAUGUUUGUUGAAUAAAUGAAGUGCAGUCCCAGGGUGCUGAUUCAGGAAGGAGAGGCCUUACCUCAAGGUUCUACCACUUUUUGGGGAUAGAGGGUAGGUACAUUCCCUGAAUUACUCUAACUAUGGACACCUACUACUCCUUUCUCCUCCCUCCACCCCCAGAUCCCUUUCCCUGAGGAAUUUAACUUAUCCUUAGGAAUCAUACUGACUCUUCCUACCCCUCAGAAAAUACUCUUGGACUUGUUUUUCUUUCUUACGUCUCCUUCCCUCCAACCCCCCCCCCCCCCCAAAUAGGGCAUGAUGCAAGAGGAAAUGCUAGUUAGUUUAAACCCACUGAGGGUGCACAAGAUUUCUAUAAAGCACAAGGGCCUAAAGAAAGAUUUCCUGGAUGGAAUCCAGUUUCUGGAUCUUCAGCUUCCUUCACUGUCCUUAAAACUGAUCUGCCUGAAGAUAUCCUUGAGGUGUGGUGCUGUUUCCUUUGUCACUGCCUCUUGCAUAAUCCCCCUCCCCUCCACCUCCCUCAUUAUGAAAGGGCCUCCCUCCCCCUGGAGAGGUUACUGCAGCCCAUUGCCCUGGGGUGGAAGAACCUCUAAAGUGGCAGACAAGAAGACAAUUCAAAUUAUUGGCUUGGAUGGUGAGAGGGGGGAAUAAUUAUAAUAAUCCUUUUGAAACUCAGGAGGUUUUCAGUUCUUUACUUUGAACAGAAUUAAAGGGGAAACUAAUUGAGCGGUCAGCUGGUGAUUCAUUAAAAAAUAAUUUUUAUGAUUCAUUACUAUGUGAUUUCAAUUAUAUAACUCUGAAGGGGUUCAAAUAAUUGUAGGUCAUUGCUGUAAUAAAACUUUCAGUCUCGUGUUCUUAUGUAUGUGACUAAGUUUUUCGGCACUUGAACAUUAAAAAAGAAAGUUACAUGUAAGUCUAAUUCUAGCAUAAGUAAUAUUAACCCACAGAUACAAAAGCUCAUUGAAAAAAAGGCCCCGUUAUCUCAUUAAAACAUAUGCUGACAGUAAAAUGUUAACCUAUAUUUAACAUUUAUGUAAAUGUGUCAUUCGUGGUGGUUGAUCAGUGUUGUCAUUAAAUAACUAUAAUGGUAAUGACAGAAGAAAGAAAUGCCAGCAUUAUAGAACCAGAGAACAUUUCGAUUUGUAUGUGUAUUUUUAUUGGAAAGAAUUAUGAUAGAAUGACCAAUCAUGGAUUUCAAGCAUCAAAAAUAUGCCAUAUUAGAAUAAAAUUUUGUGGGGAAAAUGGAAUGGAAAUACGAGUUAAGGAGAAACAUGAUGUGAAAUUUCUGACAUAAAAGAAUUUGUUCCUAUAUAUUUUUUUAAUGAUGUGGGAAUUAAACAUCUCUGGUGUUUACAUUCCUGGAUUAUAUUUAAGAAUCACAUAAUAGUUUUUUAAACAAUAUGUCAAUAGUUAUAAUACACCAGAUAUAUAAUUAUAUAAUAAUGUCAAUAGUUAUGGUACACAUCCUUUGCCACUAUUUAAAUUUAUGAUGAAAAAGUUUAGGUGCAAAUUUUAAAAUGUGUGAGGGACUAUAAAGUUUUCCGAAAUUAUUUUAGGGAGCAUAGAAGCAGAGCCUAACGACAACUGAUUUAGGAGCCAGGGCCUAGGACUGAAUCAAAUCUAUUUUUCCCAGUGGUAAUAUAGACUCCAUCUUUAGAAUUAUAAUAAUCACUUUAUUUCCUUCUUCAGUGGUUAAAAAAAAAAAGCUGUAAGAAAAUCUCAGUAAUUAGCUGUUACUCAGUAAUAGGGAGAAAACAUCUAGAGUAUUUAGCUUUAAAUAACUUCUGACUGCAGAUGAUUCACAAACUUAAAGUUUUCACCCAGACCUCUCCUCUGCGUUCUAGAUGUACAUUUCCACCUACCUGACACAAGUCCACAUGGCAUCUCUGACAGGCAGUUUGCCCAACCAUGUCUGCUGUUCCAAUUCUGAUGCUGUAAUUCCCCUCCCAGAACCUCACACUGGUUUCCCUUCUCAAUAAAUGUCCCUUCCCUUAGAGUUUUAGGUACCGCGGCCCCCCUCCUCUCAUUACUGUGGCUGCCUGGAGUGUGGAGGAUGAAAAAAUAAGAAAAGGGGGAAAAAAAAAAGAUUAAAAACAACAACAAAAAAACCUAAGUGAUUUUUUUUCUGUUUUCUAGGAGCAUUAGAGAUCUCCUUUCUUGCUCAUUGGACCAGAACUAGAGCCUUCUUCUGGAAUUCUCUCUGUCUAGGCCUGGUUUCCACUUCUGGUUUUGGGCUAUCCUGAGUCCCGGCUAGGAGACCCUGGAGAGAAAAGAAAAUGGGAAACUCCCUUCUGGUUCAGCAGGACUUCAAUUUUCUUCUUUCCCUAUCUGCCUGCUACCAUUUCAUUUUAGAGUACUCAUGUAUUCUGCCCCUUUUAUGUCUGCAUUCAGUGGGUGGGACAGGAUAGAGUCAGCUUACGUCGAAAUGGAACCUCUGUAUUCUGUAUCUUAACUUCUUAUCGUAGAAUAAGCAUUUUCCAUUUGAUGAAACAGUUAAUGGGUGCAUACCACACUCUUGAUUGGACGUUUAGGUUGUUUCCAGUUUCUCCCUAUUAUAAAUUGUGAUGAGUUCAUAGUUAGAACACAGGGGAGUCUCUCUUUCUGUGGGGGCCUGGGCCUUCCAAACAAAUUCCUGUUACAGUGAGACUCUUCACCACUAGACUGUCUUUUAAAUUAGCUGAAGCUAGUAGUUGUUAAGUUAUAAGCAAGAUCAAGCAACUCUAUCCAUAGUCCAGUAGUUUGAAUUUAGGGGCAAAUGUAUUUGACCUGUAAGACUGAUAGGAGUGUAAUUGAGGGUGCAUGGGUGGUCCAGAGCAGGCAAGCCUGACCUUUACUGAAAAGACGCACAUAUAUAUCUGAAUAAUCCCAUAAACGUUAGAGCCCUCUGACUCUCUCCUUGUCUGUCUGUCUGUCUGUCUGUCUGUCUGUCUCUCUCUCUCUCUCUCUCUCAGACAACCUGGCAUAGUAAGUUGUUGGUUACUGUGAUGUGUUACACCUGCUGGAACCUGCAGAAAGCAUUACUUUUCUCUCCUGUGGUUAUGAAGCAGACCCUGUGAUCUUGGGAGACCCACAGGCUUUCAGAUACUCCCAUUUCUCUCCAUUGCCAGUACACUCUGCCUCUUCCCUGGAGUGGUGGGAGUUAUAGCCCUUACUCUCUCCUGGAGUUAGGGACCCUCAUCUUUCCAUCUCAGCGAGUCUGCGGAGGGCAGGAGGUGGCAUAAAGCUUGUGUUUCUUUCUGUCAUGUGUCAUACAUCCAUGUUCUCUGUGUAAGGGCUCUCUUGAUUGGAGAAAAAAGAACCAGAUUUUAGUUCCAACUUAGGUAGUAGGAAAUUACUCCCAUUUUCUUCUGUCAGAAUUCAUCUGUCUAAAGGGUUAGAUUUCUCUCCAGAAAGAAGGUAGCAAUUUACAUUUCCACUAAAAAUAUAUAAAAGUGCCCAUAUCACCACACCCUCACCAGUAAUUCUCAUUUAUAAUGUUUAUUAAUUUGACAGAUGAAGCAUGGCAGUUUCUUGUUUGAAAUGUUAUCUCUUUAAUUGCCUGUGAAGUGGAACAUUUUUCCAUGUUCACUGCCAGUUGAAUUUCUUCUUUGUGAAUUGUUCUUGUUCAUUGCCCAUCUAUUUCCCAAGUGUUAUAUUUUUAAAGAUCUAACAUUUUAUAUUUAUCAUUCAGAAAAAUCAGCAGUGGAAAUAUGAAGAUGUAUAACAAAACUCUAUUCUCUAGUUCUGAAAUCAUUUUACUGCAUUAUUUAUUCUAGGUCUACAUAGAAGAAUGGUGGCAAAUUUUGCAUUAAUAAUGAAAUCUAGAAAGCCUCUAAAAAUCUAAAUUAAGAUAAUGUCCUAAGUGUUCUUCUUCCAACUUUUUGAGCAAACCAGUUACCAAUGCUCUUCUUCCUGCCCUGCCUGCCCUCUGGUGGAGGUGUUAAAGAGCAGGCCUGGAGAUCAAGCAAGCCAUAAGGGAACUAGAAGUUGUGAAAAAGACCAGGCCAAGCAGAUGCAUCCUCUCUAGACUUUGAUUCAAGAACUGGUGACUCAAAGCAGCAGGGAUGACGCAGAAUCCGUUCUGGCCAAGGCAUAGCAGCAAUGGCAGCUGCAUCCGGUUUCCAGUGGCGGGAGAGACAGCUGUUCUGUGGCAGUGUGCAGUGUCCAGCAUCCAAGGACUUGGCAUUGCAAAUUACGAGAGAGAACAUGAGUGAGGAAUGGGCAGAGAGAGAGGGAGACACAG